GGUUAUACGGAUCGAUGAACUGUGUACUUUACGACCAUGCGACGGUGACGGCGACGCCAUUAGCGUGCAUGUCGAAUCGUAAUAACCUCAACUGCGGCGGGUCGAAAACGUUUCCGUCGACUGUAUUCGGGCCCACCUGUGAUGCACUUGAUACCGUGUUAAGGGAUUACCAGUUACCGGAGCUACAGGUUAAUGACUGGCUGAUUUUUCCUAAUAUGGGUGCUUAUACAAAAGCUGCUGGAUCAAAUUUCAAUGGAUUUAACACAUCCGCCAUUGUUACUCACCUUGCUUAUGCUUAUCCAAACUAAUGAUUAAUUAGGCUUUAAUUAGCAUGGUCAUUGUAAUUUUUUUUCUUCUAAUUUUGUUCUUGUUUGGUAAUUUAUUUUCCAAUCAGCUUGUAGUUUCUUU
rnacentral:misc_RNA from 1 species